rnacentral:tRNA from 1 species
GCGGGUAUAGCACAAGGGUAGUGUACUUGCUUGCCAAGCAAGAUAUACGGGUUCGAGUCCCGUUACCCGCU